AGCUUUGUGCAAUGGCAGUAUCGUAGCCAAUGAAGUUUAUCCGAAGCCGAUUAUUGCUAAUUGAAAUUGAUUCUAUGUUAGCGAGCCUUUCUCUUCCUGAGGGUUUGUUUUGUUUUGUUUUGUUUUGGUAUGAUUGCU